rnacentral:lncRNA from 1 species
CUCUUUUCUCUCUCUCUAGGAAAGAAAGGAAAGAAGGAGAAGAAGAAAGAGAAGAAAGAAAAGAAGGAAAAGAGGAAGAAGUAGAAGGAGAAGUCUAAGAAGAAGAAGAAGAAGGUCUUCUUCUCUCUCUCCUUCAACCUAGGGCAAGCUUGGAGCUUGGCUUAGAGGUAAGCUUCCAACCCUUUAAUGGAAAUUCUAGGGUUUUAGGUUUUUAUGGUUUAGAAUUGGUUCAAAUGGAACCUAUUGGGAAUGAAUAGAUGGUUCGAGCUCAAAAUCGAAGCUCGCACCAUGGAUUUCCCUCUCGUCGCCAUUCUAGGGCACGGAUUGGGAUUUUGGGAAAUCUAGGGUUUUGAUCUAAUUUAUUGGGUCGCUAACCUAAUUGCUAGGUCUCGGAACGCGUCGGCGAAGACGGUUUGCCGAUCCGACGAGCGAGUGCGGAGUUAUCGCCGAAUCGGGUACUCGAGGGCUCGCUUCGCCCCGAGGAGUUGAAGCGACGUGCAAAGACCGCAACGUCGAGUUUUCCAUCAUCGCGGCAUCGCCAAGAGGUGGGUGGUGUCCAUCCCGAAGCAAUCGGGCUCCCUCCUAUGUCUUAGUACAU